CUCACGCACACCCUCCCUCACAAUUCUAAUCCUCACGUUCACUCUCUGUUUCUUUCCCUCAUCACCGACUAUACACACACAAAAUGAAUAUACUAAAUUAUCUCCACUAUUUCUUCUUGCUUUAAGUACUGAAGAAAACAAUCAAACUUUUCUUUCAAACUCUUGUCACAAAAUCAAAUUCCAUUCUCACUCUCUUUAACGUGUCUCUGUGGCAGCACCUACAAAUUUCUCCAUCAAAUUUCUAUUCCAUAUUACUUUCUCCUACCACUAGUGCAAGAGCCUUGUCUAUUUAAUUAAAUCAAGAAGAAUCAGAUAUCAUCUUUUUCACAAUUGAAGAAGAGGGGUCGUGAACAAGUAGGAAGUGGAGAUUUCGGCACCGUUCCGUCGUUUCUUGACCGAUCGUCGCACUGAUAGUUGCUACGCGUAGACCUCGAGGUGAUUUUGAGGAAUUCCCAGAGGAGCAAGCCUUUGAUUGUGAACAAGUGUUAGGAGAUCGUCCUGGAGAAUCUACAGAUGUCUUUGGCGGACUGGUUCACGACGGUUCACCCUUCGGGGGAAACUAGAGUUGGGAUGCUGGAACAGGAGCGCAUCGCGAUAGCGAGCGGAGGACGGAUGGUGUACAUAGACUAGGUCGUUCUGGAUUUCGAAUUCGGACGACGAUCAUGCCAGCAUGUAGGAUUGAGUGUUAGUGUGAGCUCCUCGAGAUGGGAUUAGUGUAGGAGUAGAGUCUUAGCUCUGAACAUUAUUUGUUUCAUUCGGGACAGGGUAGUUUCCCACCUAUAGCUUUUUGUGUGGUUUCUUUACGGGAAUCACAGAGAGUUGGUUGGACUUAGGAGGUCUUGUUUCAGGCCGAUGGGCCAGCUUAUUCUCAGUUUUGAGGGAUAGUGUUGCGGACACUUACCUUUAGAUUUGGUUUGUACAUUUUGCCUUCGGGCGCUACACUUUUCUUUCCGUCACUGGAGGUUACUCGUGACGAGGUUGUUACUUACAGCGGGGGCUGUUUAUAUAUUGUAUAUUAACU